UACGAAGGGGGCUAGCGUUGCUCGGAAUGACUGGGCGUAAAGGGUGCGUAGGCGGGUCUUUAAGUCAGGGGUGAAAUCCUGGAGCUCAACUCCAGAACUGCCUUUGAUACUGAAGAUCUUGAGUUCGGGAGAGGUGAGUGGAACUGCGAGUGUAGAGGUGAAAUUCGUAGAUAUUCGGAAGAACACCAGUGGCGAAGGCGGCUCACUGGCCCGAUACUGACGCUGAGGAGCGAAAGCGUGGGGAGCGAACAGG
rnacentral:rRNA from 1 species